AGGUGAUUAGCUCAGUGGUAGAGUAUCUCCCUUACAAGGAGAGGGCCGGCGGUUCAAAUCCGCCAUCACCUA
rnacentral:tRNA from 1 species